rnacentral:rRNA from 1 species
UCCUACGGGAGGCACCAGUGGGGAAUAUCGGACAAUGGUCGAAAGCAUGAUCCAGCAAGCCGCGUGUGUGAAGAAGGCCUGCGGGUUGUAAAGCACUUUUAUGAAGGAAGAAACGGCCUGGGUUAAUAACCCAUGGCAAUCGACGGUAGUUCAGGAAUAAGCACCGGCUAACUCCGNGCCAGCAGCCGCGGUAAUACGGAGGGUGGGAGCGUUAAUCGGAAUUACUGGGCGUAAAGCGUGCGCAGGCGGCUUUAAGUCGGAUGUGAAAUCCCCGGGCUUAACCUGGGAAUUGCAUUCGAUACUGGGAAGCUAGAGUCUGGAAGAGGAGAGUGGAAUUUCGGNUUAGCGGUGAAAUGCGUAGAUAUCCGAAGGAACAUCAGUGGCGAAGGCGACUNUNUGGUCCAAGACUGACGCUCAGGCACGAAAGCGUGGGGAGCAAACACGAUCAGAUACCCUGGUAGUCCUCGCCCUAAACGAUGAGAACUAGCCGUUGGGUUCAUUUAUAAGACAGNGGCGNAGNUCNCNGUUCNCCGNG